CCUACGGGGCGCAGCAGUGGGGAAUAUUGGACAAUGGGCGAAAGCCUGAUCCAGCCAUGCCGCGUGUGUGAAGAAGGCCUUCGGGUUGUAAAGCACUUUCAGUGGGGAAGAAAGCCUUGGGGCUAAUACCCUCGAGGAAGGACAUCACCCACAGAAGAAGCACCGGCUAACUCCGUGCCUGCAGCCGCGGUAAUACGGAGGGUGCGAGCGUUAAUCGGAAUUACUGGGCGUAAAGCGCGCGUAGGCGGUCUGAUAAGCCGGUUGUGAAAGCCCCGGGCUCAACCUGGGAACGGCAUCCGGAACUGUCAGGCUAGAGUGCAGGAGAGGAAGGUAGAAUUCCCGGUGUAGCGGUGAAAUGCGUAGAGAUCGGGAGGAAUACCAGUGGCGAAGGCGGCCUUCUGGACUGACACUGACGCUGAGGUGCGAAAGCGUGGGUAGCAAACAGGAUUAGAUACCCGUGUAGUC
rnacentral:rRNA from 1 species